rnacentral:rRNA from 1 species
UACGAAGGGGGCUAGCGUUGCUCGGAAUCACUGGGCGUAAAGGGUGCGUAGGCGGGUUUUUAAGUCAGGGGUGAAAUCCUGGAGCUCAACUCCAGAACUGCCUUUGAUACUGAAAAUCUUGAGUCCGGGAGAGGUGAGUGGAACUGCGAGUGUAGAGGUGAAAUUCGUAGAUAUUCGCAAGAACACCAGUGGCGAAGGCGGCCGACUGGGCCGAUCCUGACGCUGAGACCCGAAAGCCAGGGUAGCGAACCGG